rnacentral:rRNA from 1 species
CGUAUACAUGCAAGUCGAACGCUUCUUUUUCCACCGGAGCUUGCUCCACCGGAAAAAGAGGAGUGGCGAACGGGUGAGUAACACGUGGGUAACCUGCCCAUCAGAAGGGGAUAACACUUGGAAACAGGUGCUAAUACCGUAUAACAAUCGAAACCGCAUGGUUUUGAUUUGAAAGGCGCUUUCGGGUGUCGCUGAUGGAUGGACCUGCGGUGCAUUAGCUAGUUGGUGAGGUAACGGCUCACCAAGGCGACGAUGCAUAGCCGACCUGAGAGGGUGAUCGGCCACAUUGGGACUGAGACACGGCCCAAACUCCUACGGGAGGCAGCAGUAGGGAAUCUUCGGCAAUGGACGAAAGUCUGACCGAGCAACGCCGCGUGAGUGAAGAAGGUUUUCGGAUCGUAAAACUCUGUUGUUAGAGAAGAACAAGGAUGAGAGUAACUGUUCAUCCCUUGACGGUAUCUAACCAGAAAGCCACGGCUAACUACGUGCCAGCAGCCGCGGUAAUACGUAGGUGGCAAGCGUUGUCCGGAUUUAUUGGGCGUAAAGCGAGCGCAGGCGGUUUCUUAAGUCUGAUGUGAAAGCCCCCGGCUCAACCGGGGAGGGUCAUUGGAAACUGGGAGACUUGAGUGCAGAMGAGGAGAGUGKAAUUCCAUGUGUAGCGGUGAAAUGCGUAGAUAUAUGGAGGAACACCAGUGGCGAAGGCGGCUCUCUGGUCUGUAACUGACGCUGAGGCUCGAAAGCGUGGGGAGCAAACAGGAUUAGAUACCCUGGUAGUCCACGCCGUAAACGAUGAGUGCUAAGUGUUGGAGGGUUUCCGCCCUUUCAGUGCUGCAGCUAACGCAUUAAGCACUCCGCCUGGGGAGUACGACCGCAAGGUUGAAACUCAAAGGAAUUGACGGGGGCCCGCACAAGCGGUGGAGCAUGUGGUUUAAUUCGAAGCAACGCGAAGAACCUUACCAGGUCUUGACAUCCUUUGACCACUCUAGAGAUAGAGCUUCCCCUUCGGGGGCAAAGUGACAGGUGGUGCAUGGUUGUCGUCAGCUCGUGUCGUGAGAUGUUGGGUUAAGUCCCGCAACGAGCGCAACCCUUAUUGUUAGUUGCCAUCAUUUAGUUGGGCACUCUAGCAAGACUGCCGGUGACAAACCGGAGGAAGGUGGGGAUGACGUCAAAUCAUCAUGCCCCUUAUGACCUGGGCUACACACGUGCUACAAUGGGAAGUACAACGAGUCGCAAAGUCGCGAGGCUAAGCUAAUCUCUUAAAGCUUCUCUCAGUUCGGAUUGUAGGCUGCAACUCGCCUACAUGAAGCCGGAAUCGCUAGUAAUCGCGGAUCAGCACGCCGCGGUGAAUACGUUCCCGGGCCUUGUACACACCGCCCGUCACACCACGAGAGUUUGUAACACCCGAAGUCGGUGAGGUAACCUUU